rnacentral:rRNA from 1 species
UACAGAGGUCCCAAGCGUUGUUCGGAUUCAUUGGGCGUAAAGGGUGCGUAGGUGGCGUCGUAAGUCGGGUGUGAAAUUUCGGAGCUCAACUCCGAAACUGCAUUCGAUACUGCGGUGCUUGAGGACUGGAGAGGAGACUGGAAUUUACGGUGUAGCAGUGAAAUGCGUAGAGAUCGUAAGGAAGACCAGUGGCGAAGGCGGGUCUCGUGGACAGUUCCUGACACUGAGACACGAAGGCCAGGGGAGCAAACGGG